GACGAACGCUGGCGGCGUGCUUAACACAUGCAAGUCGAACGGAAAGGCCCUGCUUUUGUGGGGUGCUCGAGUGGCGAACGGGUGAGUAACACGUGAGUAACCUGCCCUUGACUUUGGGAUAACUUCAGGAAACUGGGGCUAAUACCGGAUAGGAGCUCCUGCUGCAUGGUGGGGGUUGGAAAGUUUCGGCGGUUGGGGAUGGACUCGCGGCUUAUCAGCUUGUUGGUGGGGUAGUGGCUUACCAAGCCUUUGACGGGUAGCCGGCCUGAGAGGGUGACCGGCCACAUUGGGACUGAGGGACGGCCCAGACUCCUACGGGAGGCAGCAGUGGGGAAUAUUGCACAAUGGGCGGAAGCCUGAUGCAGCAACGCCGCGUGCGGGAUGACGGCCUUCGGGUUGUAAACCGCUUUCGCAUGUGACGAAGCGUGAGUGACGGUAAUGGGUAAAGAAGCACCGGCUAACUACGUG
rnacentral:rRNA from 1 species